CUAUUAAGGUACCAGGAAGAAAUAAAUUACUAAUAACAAUUUGUUAUCAAGGGAGGAUGCAUACACAAAGACGAUUAAAACAAAAAUGUUUGUGAUUCACGAACCGAGGUGAUAAAUAAGGUGCAAAAAAAUAAAAAAUUUAAUUGUAUUCCGCCGAUUCAAGAAAUAACUCGAAAAAGAAGCUUUAAUAAUGAAGUAUGAAGCGGAAAUAAUUUCGUUCGCCAUGAUAUUGGCACUCCUCUUGAUUGUUGUACUUUUAAUUCAUAUUUUUAUUAUGAAAGGAAACUCUUUGAAGGUGUUAACGAAAUAUUCUGGAAUUUUAGUCAAAGCUCCUCAACAAUGGGUUGUGGAAAGAAGUAUUAAUGGUGAUGCGUUUGGUUCUAAUGGAGUUUAUACUAUCUAAACUGUGAAAUUAUAAAAAAAGAUUUAAAUUAAUAAAUUUUAAUACUUUAA